GGGGGAGCGGCGCGUGCGGGGAGCGCCCGGGCGGGGAGCGCCCGGCAUCCAUCCCCCGUGUCCCCCGCAUCCCCCGUCCUUCUGGCCGGCCCGCCGCGAUGUUCUCCAGGAAGGGCCACGCCGACGUCAGGAAAUCCACGCAGAAGGCGCUGGACCCGAAGCGGGACGUGCUGACCCGGCUGAAGCAUCUCCGCGCGCUGCUGGAUAUUGUGGAUGGAAGUGACCUGAAGCAAUUUUUUGAUAAUAAUUAUUCUCAAAUUUAUUUUAUAUUCUAUGAAAACUUCAUAACACUGGAAAAUAGCUUGAAACAAAAAGGGAAUAAAUCACAAAGGGAGGAGCUGGACUCCAUCCUCUUUCUUUUUGAAAAAAUAUUGCAGCUACUGCCUGAGAGGAUUUUUUAUCGAUGGCAUUUUCGCAGUAUAGGGUCAAUUCUGAAGAAACUUUUGCACACUGGAAAUUCUCUCAAGAUAAGAUGUGAAGGAAUCCGGCUGUUCCUGCUCUGGCUCCAAGCCCUGCAGACGAACUGUGGGGAGGAGCAGAUCCUGCUGUUCGCCUGCCUCGUGCCCGGCUUCCCCCCGCUGGCGUCCUCACGGGGCCCCUGCACCCUGGAGAGCCUCCUCAGCCCUCCCUGCCCGCCCGACGCUAAGAUUUUUCCAGAGGAAAUAACCCCGCUUUUGCCAGCUGUCUCUGGAGAGAAAAUUGCUGAAGACCAAACCUGCUAUUUUCUUCAGCUCCUGUUAAAAUAUAUGGUAAUCCAGAGCUGGCUUUGCCCCUCCCCUGGAAGAAGCUGGCUCCUGCACUUUAUUAGUCUUGGUUUUGAAAGGAAAAUCAUCCCAAAGGCUGCAAGCUUGGAGUGGAAAAACAAGGAGAACCAAGACACUGGGUUUAAGUUUCUCUUUACCUUGUUUAGAAAAUACUAUCUUCCUCACUUGUUUCCAUCUUUUACAAAGCUAACCAACCUCUACAAACCUGUGCUUGAUAUUCCUGAUAUCAGGCCAAGGCCAGUGUAUGUCACUGCAACACGAAACAAUGAAAGUGUCUAUAGCACAAAAAUCCCGUAUAUGGCAGCUCGAGUUGUUUUUAUUAAGUGGCUUGUUACCUUCUUCCUUGAAAAGAAAUACUUAACUGCUGUUCAGAACACAAAAAAUGGAGGAGAAGUGCUCCCUAAAAUUAUUCAGACGGUGGGGGUGAGCCAGGACAAGGCGGCGGAGCUGGAGGGCGGCGCGGCGCAGGAGCAGGACGGGAGCCACUCCAACAGCAGCACCCUGUCCGACAGGAGGCUCAGCAGCUCCAGCCUGUGCAGCGUGGACGAGCAGCACCGCGGCGUCUACGACAUGGUGCAGAGGAUCCUGCUCUCCACCCGCGGCUACGUCAACUUCGUCAACGAGGUCUUCCGACAGGCUUUUUUGUUGCCACCUUCUGAUGUAUCGGCAACACGGAAAGUGGUGAAGGUGUAUCAGAAGUGGAUACUGCAAGAGAAGCCCGUGUUCAUGGAGGAGCCAGACAAAAAGGAGGACAGCCAGGAUGCUGUUGUCCACCUGGAAGACUCCUCAGUGCAAACAGAUGGUAAACAUCUUUCCUCGGAGCACUCCGGGCACAAGCGCUCCUCCAGCUGGGGCAGGACGUACUCCUUCACCAGCGCUGUGAGCAGGGGGUGUGUGCUGGAAGAUGAGGACAGAGAUGUGAAAGCUGGAGCCCAGGCUGCAUUACAGGUGUUCCUGACGAACUCGGCGAAUGUUUUCCUGUUGGAGCCGUGCACUGAGGUCCCGGUGCUGCUGAAGGAGCAAGUGGAUGCUUGCAAAGCUGUUCUCAGUAUCUUCAGGCGCAUGAUAAUGGAGCUGUCAAUGAAUAAGAAGACAUGGGAACAGAUGCUACAGAUACUCCUCAGAAUAACAGAAGCUGUGAUGCAGAAGCCGAAAGAAAACCAGCCAAAGGACACAUUUGCCCAGAGCAUGGCUGGGUUGCUGUUCCGAACCCUCAUUGUGGCCUGGAUCCGAGCAAACCUGAGUGUUUACAUCUCUCGGGAGCUGUGGGAUGAGCUGCUCAGUGUCCUGUCCUCCCUGACGGACUGGGAGGAGCUCAUCCACGAGUGGGCCAACAUCAUGGACUCCCUGACAGCAGUGCUGGCCAGGACCGUGUACGGCGUGGAAAUGACCAACCUCCCCUUGGACAAGCUCAGUGAGCAGAAGGAGAAAAAGCAGAGGGGGAAAGGUGGCAUUUUAGAGCCUCAGAAGACAGCAGUAGUGGGAAGAUCUUUUUCAUUAAGCUGGAAGAGUCAUCCUGAAGUCGUGGAGCCGAUGAGAUUCAGAAGUGCUACAACCUCUGGGGCCCCUGGAGUCGAGAAAGCCCGAAAUAUUGUUCGUCAGAGAGCGACAGCUAAGCGAAGCCAGUCUAUCAGCAACUGUGUCCAUCUUUAUGAGGCUUUGCCAGCUACUAAAAGUGUACCUCUUCUGCUUCACACUGUGAGCUCUCUCUUCCCUGGUCUCUCUUACACUUCUUGCUCUCACAGACUGUCAGAAGUUGAAGAAUCUCAACAGCUGGAAAAUUCAGAAGGAACAGAAGCUGUGGGCCCGUUUGCAGACCAAGAGCAGCAGCUGACUCGAAGUAGCAGCACUUCAGAUAUUGCAGAUCAGAUUCCAUCUGAUUUUUUUCAAGGUAAAAAGGCUGGAAGUUCUCAUAAUUCAACUUCAGACUCCAAAUCAGUUCAGGAAAACAAGGGGCAUGCAAAGAAGGAGGAUGAAGCUGAGCAAGUGCUAAUACGAAGGAGCAGUAGUACAGCUGAAUUAGAUCUGAAAGCAGACUUUCAGCCACCCCAGGGGAAUUACAGAGACAGAGAAAAAAGUGAGAGCGUGAGCAGCGACGCGUCCCUGGGCUGCGGGGCCGACGUGGACAUGGCGCUGCUGCCCUGGCAGGCGGCCGAGGACGACCCCGACCCCGCCGCGGGCACAGAGCUGUGUGUGGAUCCCACUGCCCCGCGCUGGCUGCCCCUCAGCCCCUCGGAGCCUGCCAACCUCACAGACAGUAGUGAAUUCCUUGCUGAUGACUGCAGUAUAAUUGCUGGUGGAAGCCUUAUUGGUUGGCAUCCUGAUUCUGCUGCUGUGUUAUGGAGGAGGAUCUUGGGAAUUCUUGGAGAUGUGAACAAGAUACAGUCACCUAAAAUCCAUGCAAAAGUUUUUGGAUACCUUUACGAGCUGUGGUAUAAACUUGCAAAGAUAAGGGACAACCUCGCUAUCAGUGUGGACAAUCAGUCGACUCCCUCUCCUCCCAUCCUAAUCCCUCCUCUCAGGAUAUUUGCAUCGUGGCUGUUCAAGGCAGCCACGCUGCCCAGCGAGUACAAGGAGGGCAAGCUGCAGGCCUUCCGGCUGCUCUGUGCCAUGAUGACCCGGCGCCAGGACGUGCUGCCCAACUCCGACUUCCUCGUCCACUUCUACUUCGUGAUGCACCUCGGCUUGACCAGCGAGGACCAGGAUAUCCUGAACACCGUCAUAAAGCACUGCCCCCCCUGGUUUUUCUUCCUGGGCCUGCCUGGGUUCACGAUGCUGAUCGGGGACUUCGUGGCGGCGGCGGCGAGGGUGCUGCGCGCGGACACGCUGGAGGCUCCCCGUUCUGAAGCUCACACCAUCCUUGGUGCUCUCGUGUGUUUUCCAAAUACCUACCAAGAAAUCCCACGGUUGGGGCCCAUUUCAGAAGCCAGUGAGAUCAGCACAGGAACUGCAGAUGUGAAGUGUUGCCUCAUAAAUAUUUUAUUGAAGAAUGCUACAGAGGAGCCAAGUGAAGCUGCAAGGUGCAUAGCCAUCUGUGGCCUGGGAGUGUGGAUCUGUGAGGAGCUCACGCAGUGCACAAACCAUCCCCACGUGAAGAAGGCCAUCAAUGUCAUAGGUGUGACACUGAAGUUUUCCAAUAAGGUGGUAGCUCAGGUAGCCUGUGAUGUUCUUCAGCUGCUGGUGUCUUACUGGCAAAAGCUUCAGGAGUACGAAUCCUCCCUGUGCCGGAAAAUCACUGAAAUCCUCGUGGCCACCAUUGCCUUCCUUUUGCCGAGUGCCGAGUACUCCUCCGUGGAGGCGGAUAAGAAGUUCAUAGUGUCCCUGCUGCUGUGCCUGCUGGAUUGGUGCAUGGCACUGCCCAUGAAAAUGCUGCUGGAGCCCGUGUCUGCUGGUGCCGUGGAAGAUCAGCACGCAUCCAGAGCUCCUUUACUGGACUACAUUUACAGAGUCCUGCACUGCUGUGUGAACGGCUCCAGCACGUACACGCAGCAAAGCCACUACGUGCUGAGCCUGGCCGACCUCUCCUCCUAUGACUACGACCCCUUUUUGCCACUGGGGAACGUCAGGAGCUCGGAGCCAGCCCAGUGCCACUCCUCCACAGAUUUGGGCAACCUGCUCACUGUUGCUGAGGAGAAAAGGAGGAGGAAUUUAGAAUUGAUACCUCUGACAGCGCGGAUGGUGAUGACUCACCUGGUGAAUCACCUGAGCCACUACCCGCUCAGCGGAGGCCCUGCCAUUCUCCACAGCCUCCUCAGUGAGAACCAUGACAACUCCUAUGUGGAGUCCUCUGAGCUGUCCUCGGAAGUCUUCCGGAGCCCCAACCUGCAGCUCUUUGUGUUCAAUGACAGCACUCUCAUAUCUUACCUCCAAAUCCCUGCAGAGAAGAGGGCGGGUGCUGAGCCAGCAGCAGCCCCCUCGGACGUCAGGGUGAUCGUCAGGGAUAUCUCAGGGAAGUACUCUUGGGAUGGCCGGAUACUGUACGGCCCUUUGGAGGGCUGCCUUCCUCAGCAGAGCACCACCAACACCUUUGUGAUCUCCAGCAACCCCGAGCACCACUUCGCUUCCCAGAACGACACUUCCCAGGCAGAGGAAGGAGAAGAUGCUCUCGACCAGUUGCUGGAGAAGAUCGGUGCCACCAGCCCCGAGUGCCUUCUGCACCCCCAGCGCAAGCUGAACGAGCCGGCGCCGCCGCCCUGCGGGAUGAGCUCCGAGCAGGAGCGGGCCAUCAUGGAGGCCCUGAUGAGGCAGAGUGCCCAGGAAAGGGAGUUCAUCCUGAAAUGCAGCUCUGACUGCAGCAUGAAGGUGGCCCGCCAGGAACCACCACGCCCUGCUGAGCCUCAGGCCUCCUUUUAUUUCUGUCGGCUGUUGCUGAACGACUUGGGAAUGAACUCCUGGGAUAGAAGAAAAAGCUUUCACUUGCUUAAGAAAAAUUCAAAAUUGCUGCGAGAACUGAAAAAUCUGGAUUCCCGCCAAUGCCGUGAGACUCACAAGAUCGCCGUGUUCUACAUCGCCGAGGGACAGGAGGACAAGUGCUCCAUCCUGGCCAACGCCAGGGGAAGCCAGGCAUAUGAAGAUUUUGUAGCAGGACUGGGCUGGGAGGUGGAUCUCUCCACGCACGGGGGUUUCAUGGGCGGCCUGCAGCGCAAUGGCAGCACAGGACAAACUGCUCCCUACUACGCUACCUCCACCGUGGAGAUCAUCUUCCACGUGUCCACCAGGAUGCCCUCGGAUUCGGACGAUUCGCUGACCAAAAAGCUCCGUCACUUGGGAAAUGAUGAGGUUCACAUCGUCUGGUCUGAGCACACCCGCAACUACCGCAGGGGCAUCAUCCCCACGGACUUCGGGGAUGUUCUCAUUGUCAUCUACCCCAUGAAGAACCACAUGUUUUUCAUAGAGAUCAUGAAGAAACCAGAGGUGCCAUUUUUCGGCCCUCUCUUCGACGGAGCGAUCGUGACCGCGAAGCUGCUGCCGAGCCUGAUCUGUGCCACGUGCAUCAACGCCAGCAGAGCCGUCAAGUCACUCAUCCCGCUCUACCAGAGCUUCUACGAGGAGAGAGCUCUGUACCUCGAAGCCAUCAUCCAGAACCACAAAGAGGUGAUGACGUUUGAGGAUUUUGCCGCUCAGGUCUUUUCUCCCUCUCCCAGCUACUCCCUCGGUGGAACUGGUGAGUCUCUGCACGUUAUUCUUCUCUGUAGCCCCAAGAAGCACUUGAGCAGCAGAUGUACACCUGUUUUUUGUAGAUAAAUGCUUGCAAAUUUAAGAAGACCAUUCUUCCCCUGAAUCAACUAAUGAAUAUCAAAAGGAAUGAUGACAUUCAUUUUAAUUUGUUUUGCAUCAGAGCUAUUCAGUCUGCUCCUUUCUUCAGCUAUCCUGUUAACCCCCGACUCCGGCGAGGUUAAUGAACUUUCUUGCAGUGAUGGGCUCCAGCUCAUUCAGGACUCCGGGUUCUUGCUGAGCUGGGAAUAUGUUGUUCAAAAGCGAGGCCUGAAUUGGGGCUCACUUAUCAAAAAUAGUUCCUCGCAGGGGAAGCUGCUGCUAAUGCUAAAUGGGGAUUAUGCUGCUGAGCUACCAGGGUCAGGGAUUAAUGCCCAAGAAACGCAGGAACGGGGUGCUGUUAGGGAAUCACAGCGGCGGGCGGGAUGCGGGCGCGUCCCUUCAAUGCAGACAAGCACACUGCAGGCUGCCCUCCAGCACCUGGCCUGGAGCCUCUUUGGGGGCUUUAAUGGAUGUGUGGAUAUAUGUGUGUGUGGGGGGGGUGUAUACACACACAUCAGUGCUCAUCAUUCAUCAUCCCUCCUGAGAGGUGACAACGCAGUGCCAAACUCUGGGCAUUUAUUCCUCGUGUGCCCUGUGGAGAUUUAGGUUAGUGUGUGGUCAGUGAGGUACCAAUCGCUGCCUGGCUGGUUCAUUGAGUUUAAGUGAACCUCUUCUGAAAGGGAUCUUUUGCUCUGAAAUGCAGAUUUCUAGUGCCCUCAAGAUGUGUUUUUUCCAGCCUCCAGAAAGUAUCUCGUCACCGUCACCGAGUGCUGGACUCUCUAACAAAGAUUCCUUAAUCCAUUGUUGACACUCAUAGGGUGACACAGGCACUUUCUAAUCAUUCCCUGCUUCUCUUUUGGAUUGCUGAAUAGAUUAUUUCCAACUUGUACAAACGUUGCGGGACAUCUGCUCUAUUUCUCUUUAGCCCGACUUGUUAGCAGAUAUCUUCCAUCUAAACGAAACAUUGAAGGAAGAAAUUAAAUUUGCUAGAAUAAAUCACUUAGGAAUAAAACCAGCCGUGCAGCAUUGUCUAGCGUUCCUGGCUCCGGUCCUGGCGCGCUCGGAGCUUUGUGAGGAGAUAAGAGGGCUGUGCGGGCCGGGCAGUGGUGGCCAGGAGCAGCAGGCAGAAGGCUUUGGAGAUAAGCGCUGGCAGGAGGGGAGGGAGCCGGGGCCAUUUACAUAAUCGCGCCUCUGCGUCCUGGAGAGGCGUCAGGGAACACGGGAUGGAUCUAUUGAUCUCUGCUGAACUGGAAUACUAAACAACGCUAGGAAAGCUUAUAACUUAAAGCUUUGAUUAAUGUUUCCUACAUUAAAAAGUAGAACAGCUGUGCAUUAAAUUCUUUUAUACACUCUGCCAAAAGUCUGAGACAAAAAAAUGGCCCAUUUCAAUAGGAGCGCAGCGCGUGCCCAGGGUUGGUUGGUAGCACUUGAAUCGUUUAUCUGUUGACAUAUCAGCAAAUAGAAACGUAGAUAUAUUGAUCUAUUUUAAAUGUUUUGCUCUGUGCAUAAUUGUGUCUCAUUUUCAUGUUUUUUAGAGCACGCAGUGCUCUGGUUGUGUACAAAUGUGGUCUGACGGGGCAGAUCCCUCGGCAGUGCACUCUCUGAAGGCUGGGAUAUGCUGUGUGUGUGCCAGACCUGGUUAAAGUGUUUCCCAGUAGCUGAGGUUUUCAGAGCACUGUUAAAUCAUGAGUAGCCUGGAUGUGGUUUUAUAAUUUCAUUAUUUUAAUUGCUUUUAAUUGUAAAACCUGCCCCAGUCAGGUCCCAGUUUUUGGACUUCUGAACCUCGGAAUUAAUUUCUCGCUCAUGAACUGGAGGCUGGCCAUGACUUCUGGUGUCAGAAUCUCUGCUUCAGAGAGUCUCCUCACGUUACCUACUGAUUCACCUGCAUAUUUAGUCAGUGAUGAGCAAGGGCAGUGUCAGCCACGGCCAUCGGGAUGUGUUUUCCAUCAGAUGCUCCCUGGCAGUUGGAAGGGAGGCUGGAUGCAGCCCUGGCAGCUCGGGAGCUGUUUCCCAGCAGGCAGCCUGUGCCACAGGCAGGCAGUCCUGCUCCAGGCAUAGACCCGCCUGUCUAACACCUGCAGGAAUCACCUGUGUGCUGCUUAGGAUGCAUGGCAUUUUUCUCCAUGUAAAAAGGGAAUUUCUAUUCUGAAAUCAGGGAGCAAUAAAUGAAAAAAAAAAUUUCCCUGAGAAGGUAGUCAGGUACUGGCACAGGCUGCCCAGGAAGGUGCUGGAGUCACUGCCUCUAAAGGUGUUCAGAAGGUGUCUGAAUGUGGCACUUGGGGACGUGGUUUAGGGGUGAUGAUGGUGGUGCUGGGUUGGUAGCUGGAUUUGAUGAUCUUGAAGAUCUCUCCCAGCCUUGAUGAUUCUGUGGGAUUCAUGGAGCUGGCACAGGUGACAAGCCAGCUGGUGCUGCUAACCCUGCCGAGUGUAAACUCCUCAGGUAAAUUUAAGAUUAAUUCUCAUCUGAUCUGAUUCUUAAUGCCACUCAAGUGUGGUCCUGUCAGCGCUGCGAAUACACGUGUGCAGCAGAAAGGUCAAGGAGUAAGUGUGCUUUUUAUUAAAAUGAAGCUUGUUCUCAGUAGUCAUAAGAAGAAAUCAGGACCAUUAAAUGAAUUGAACACGGAGCUCUCGCUGACACACAUCACUGGGGUGUUGCUAACCAGGAUCUAAUGAUUUGAACUGCAUGUUUUUGCAUUUUCUGAUGCUGCCCCGGGGGAUGCAUCCCCCAGACUCAGGUCGGAUGUGGGUUUCCUGCCCUGGAUUAGUCUGCCUGUCACCAACAGUCUUGUAGGUGCUGCAUUUUCUGCAGGAAAAUCAUCCAGUUGAUCUCCUUUGCUGUUUCCAGGCGCGGAGCCUUAAACUCCCUGUGCAGCUCACAGAUAGCCCUGGCUAUUGCAGGAUCACAGAGAGCCCUGGCUAUUGCAGGAUCACAGAGAGCCCUGGCUAUUGCAGGAUCACAGAGAGCUCUGGCUAUUGCAGGAUCACAGAGAGCCCUGGCUAUUGCAGGAUCACAGAGAGCCCUGGCUAUUGCAGGAUCACAGAGAGCCCUGGCUAUUGCAGGAUCACAGAGAGCCCUGGCUAUUGCAGGAUCACAGAGAGCCCUGGCUAUUGCAGGAUCACAGAGAGCCCUGGCUAUCUUCAGCGCUGAAAGCAGCCGGGUAGGCAGAAUGGCCAUCCCUGAACUCAUUUAGGGGAUGUGCAGAUUAGGAACAAAAGCUGGGAAUACGGCCCUUUGUUGUUAAACUGGUGCAUUACAUGCUGUAUUUUAAUUAGGCUGGGUCUGAGAGGCAGCCCAGGAAAUCCUCCAUAAUCCAACACUAUUGAAUUAUUCUCAUCCUUUCCCUCUGCAGAUUUCUCUCCUUUUAGAGGAUGGGCUUUAAGCUGCUGUUCUUGCUCCCUCAGCCAAAACCAGAAAGAGUUAUUCAACAAAACACUUGUGUGUUCUUUAAAAAAAUGGUGAAGCUGAAGCGGGCACACACAGAUAGAGCAGCGCCCCAACUUUGCCUCUGUGGCUCAAAGGGCUGCCUUGGGCUUGGGGGUUUUUUGGUGUAAGAUCAGCAGCCAGAAGCGUUGUGUUAUCCCUUAGGAAGUGGAAGUGGCCAGGUAUUCCAGGGGAACUGCCUAAUCAUAGCUUGCUCACCAUGGGAGGAUUCUGUAUGAGGGGUUUGUGCUGGCAGGGCAGGUUUCUGUUUGAAGGGAGCCCCGGAGCUGCAGCGCUGCCGUUGGCACUCCAGGGGUUAAUGGGAACGGGCACACUUGACUGCUGAGAGGACUGAUCUAAUCACUGCCAUAUCCAAGUGCAUCUGUUCACCAUGAGGUCAUUCUUGUGCAUGCUAAUGACUUGGAAAAUAAAGCACAAUGCUCAACGUUAUCAGGGAGGAUAUAGUGUAAAUCUUGGCUUUUUUAGUUGCUAAUGGAUAUUGUGGAAUGGGCAGGCAAAGCAUCCCGGAUUCUUGUGUUCCAGCUUAAUGUUUUUAAAGCAUCCUUUUCAGUGGAGUGUCAGGAAAACUGUGCUGGAAAACUCAGACAUGUGGUAUCUGUUGAUAAAUGGAUUCUUUAAUGAAUAUUAUGGCAUUGCCCAGGAGCAACACUUGAGUUGAGGAACUAUAGAGGUUUUCAGCAUUCCCUGGUUUUAAAGCCUCGGGAGCCUGCCUGCUGAUUUACAUAAAACCGAGAUUUUGCAGGCUUUUUGUUGUAAAGGUGACACAUGCUUUUCUUUUGUCUCCAGACUUUUACAUGCAUAAAGUUCCUGUACUACAAGGAACCAGAUCUGGUUUAUUUUAAACCGAUUUUUGGUCAGUGCUGAGCUUUAUCUUUCCCACUUUAAAGCGAAAGGAAUAUUUCAAUUUGACAUCUAGAUUUAAAAUGUAUUUUUGACAGAAACAAAAACAAACCCAGAGUAACUAUUGCAUUAACCAGACUGAUGCUCCCUUGUAACGAUGAGCCAGGAUUCCUUUUGCUUUGGUGUGGUUUUUCUGGUUUUGUUUUUUACUUCUUUGGUUUUUUUGUGCUUUUAUCUUUUUCCUUGAAAAAAGGUGUUUUCCUUGUAGGGUGUUUUGUCAGAUCUGUGUACAGGUGGAACAAAAGUCUCUCUGGGUUCUGCAUAUAUAAUAUUUCUGCCUGUUUUGGGGAAUAGUAAAAAAACACACAUCUGAAAGGGAGUAGCUGUGCCACGAUACCCCAGCACGUGCGGCAUGUGCCGAGGUCAGAUCUGAUCCGUGUGUCAGUGUUGCCUGAAACGGAACAAUUAAUUUCUAGUACCUGGGACUCAGGAAAUUCCCGACUGUCCUGGCUGCUCGGAGCCAUGGCUCAGCUACUGCCGCCAGGAGAGGAGGCAGCGCUGGCACUGUCUGCCAGGGGCAGCUGUGGGCUCCAUCCUCCGUGCCCAGCCCUCCCUGGUCUGGGACGGGUCCCUCCGAUGUGGGAGGAAGGACAGGGAGUUGAGUCGUUAGCACGGAGCCCGUGCUCAGCAGGUGAGAUGGAACUCGGGUGCUGCCGUGGUGGAGGUUGUCCAGGCAGUGAACAAAGAGGAAAAGCUGAGGGAGGUGGAGCAGGGGAGCCAGAAGAGUUACCACAGGAGGCAGGAUUUGGCUUUCUCUUCUCCUCCUUCCCUGUGAGUAUUCAGGAGGAGGUGCAGGGACCUGUCUGGCUUUCCCUCUCUGUUUAAUCCAGGUAGCUCCACAUCCUGAGCAGACUGGAGCCUCUGUCCCAGCCACUGCUGGGCUGCCCUCGGGGGCAGAUUUGGGAGCUGCUCCUUGCCCCUGUGCUCUCUGUUACCAGUGUUCCCUCCAUGGCUUUCCUUCCUCCACAGAGCUGCCACCUUAGUGUCCCUGUGAGGGGCAGGAAUGGUCUGGCAUUAAACAGAGCAGUGUCACAGUUACCACGAAUUGUUGGGGCAGCAGCUCUGUCCCCCCGUAGCUCCUGUGGCUGAACAGGCCUGGCUCCGGAGGGUCUGGAUCCCUGCAGAGCCCUAGGGAAGUUGCAUCCCUCCUUUGCAGCUCCCUGCAAAGCAGCGGCCGCCUGCUCUGGGCACAGGGGUCAUUCUCCCUGUGCCGACCUGUCCCCGAGGCAGGGCAGGUGCUGGAGCUGCUUCUCCCUCAAGCCUGGCGUUCCCUCGGGAUCUCCAGCAGGGAAGGGGCACAUUAGGGCUCUCAGCCUGGGCCCCUGCCUUUUCCAUGUAAUUGAUUGGCUCAGAGGGAGCUCCCCCAGCUACGAUCUCCGGGAGAGGAGGCAGAGAGAGAGGGUUUCUCCAAGCAAUCAGUGCUGGGAUGGGAGAAAAUAUGAGCUUGACAGGCCCAUCUCUCCUGCCGGGUGACAGCUCCAGCUGCUCGAGCUGUCAGCUCAGAGAAGGCUCCGGGCAAUGUGGCCCCUUUGCAUUUUCCCUCUGCACUGAGGCACCGGCUCGGUGGCCAUGGAGAGCCAGAGCAGAGCUGGAGCAGAGCUGUCCUGUGGCCGUGGGCCAGGGGCUUGGGCUGCCCCACCUGUGACACCCCCAAAACCCCCAACGCUCCCCCUGGCUGAAGUUGAGGCCAAUCCGUGCAGAACUAAUUAGCGGCUGCUCCAAGUCCUGACUAAGUGAACUUCGAUGUGUACAUUUAGGGUUUAUUUCCAAAUCCCUCAAACCGUCAAGGCUGGGCCUGUGACAGUGCCAGGCACUCCCUCCUGGAAACUGUGAAUGCUGUUUUAGGGGUGAUUCUGCCCCUGAUUAACCUGUAGUUUGAGAUUCUCUUACUGCUUCACUUAGAGCUUUCCAAGGCACUGCAGGAUGUGUUUGAUUAGCACAGCCACUGCUUCAGUUAUCGAUGAUUUCUUCCACGCAGGCUCAGGAUGCUGCUUACAGUGUACUUUGAGCCUGUUCUUGGAAGUGGGAAGCAGGAACACCGGGCAGAUUUACUACAGUGAUUCUCUCUGGAAUUUUCUGACCUUCACAUUUACUAGGAAGGAAAACAAAGAUUUCCAGAGCCCUGUCCUGGUUGACAGGUUAAUGGGGGGCUGGAACAGGUCACAGCCCGUGUGACAACUUCAUGGGUCUUCUCAAAUACAAGGCUUUGGGAUCCUUACAGGUCAUGGAGACCCACCCUUGCUUUCAGAGGUGUUCAGCUACUUCAGGAGAGAAAUGGCUGAAAGGUCAUUCCUAGAGCACCUACCCUGGCAAGGCAGGGCAUGAGAAAUGAGGUUUGUUCUCUCUGGUGGAUUUGAGAUGCAAUAAGCCAUUUCUCUCUAGUUUCCCACAAAACAAUUUCAUUUAAAGUGUGUUUUUAUCUAUAUUCCUAACUCUAUUUCUAAUCCCCUCCUGCAAAGAACUUAUUUUAAAAUCUUAAGCCUCCCUCACCAGGCCUCACCUGUAAGAGGCUCUACACUGCUCAUUUCCUGGGGUUUUAACCUGCCUGCAGUGUCCCAGUGGUUUAGGUCUCUGUGAAGCCUCAAAUCUUACACAGUUUGAAAUGGUGUGACCAGCAAUGGUGCUGGAGGUGGAGCCGAGGCAGCUGCACCCACCGUCCCAUGGCAGCUCGUUUGGCAAAAGCUGAAGUGCAAUGGUUAUUCAUUCCCAUUUUUGCCAGCAUUCCCUCCCUUGACUGUUUCAAUCCACAGACCCGAGAAGGAAGCGUGUGGGUCCCCGAGGGCUGAGGGGAACUCUCCUUCCUGAGCUGCCCUUCUGCUGGUGCCCAGCGUGUGCCGGUGUGUGCCGUGCCAGGCUGCCGUUGGCGCAGCGGGUCCCGGGUGUGCUGCUCCUGCACUGACACGGUUUUGUGUUCUCUCCCUUUAGAUUAGAGUGUGUAACGCUCUCGUUAAUGGCCGCAGGCUGCCUCACCACAAGUGCAAGCGCUGACCUCACUGUCACCAUCGGCAUCGAGCUGGCGGAGCCGCCCUCGCCCACGCUGCCACGUGCCUCCAGGAGCAGAGUCUCCGGGAAGCUCCGCCGCUCCGCCAGCGCCCUCAGCAAGGCUUCCAGCUGAGCUCCGGGACACAGAGCUCCGGCCAGGGGAGCGACA